AAGACCUUGCGCUUUUGGAGCGGCCGAUGUCUGAUUAGCUAGUUGGUGGGGUAAUGGCCUACCAAAGCUUCGAUCAGUAGCUGGUCUGAGAGGACGGCCAGCCACACUGGGACUGAGACACGGCCCAGACUCCUACGGGAGGCAGCAGUGGGGAAUUUUGGACAAUGGGCGCAAGCCUGAUCCAGCCAUGCCGCGUGAGUGAAGAAGGCCUUCGGGUUGUAAAGCUCUUUCAGCCGGGAAGAAAAGGCUGCGACUAAUAAUCGCAGUUCAUGACGGUACCGGAAGAAGAAGCACCGGCUAACUACGUGCCAGCAGCCGCGGUAGUACGUAGGGUGCGAGCGUUAAUCGGAAUUACUGGGCGUAAAGGGUGCGCAGGCGGUUUUGUAAGUCAGAUGUGAAAUCCCCGGGCUUAACCUGGGAACU
rnacentral:rRNA from 1 species